rnacentral:rRNA from 1 species
GAUGAACGCUGGCGGCGUGCCUAAUACAUGCGAGUCGAGCGAACGGACGAGAAGCUUGCUUCUCUGAUGUUAGCGGCGGACGGGUGAGUAACACGUGGAUAACCUACCUAUAAGACUGGGAUAACUUCGGGAAACCGUAGCUAAUACCGGAUAAUAUUUUGAACCGCAUGGUUCAAAAGUGAAAGACGGUCUUUCUGUCACUUAUAGAUGGAUCCGCGCUGCAUUAGCUAGUUGGUAAGGUAACGGCUUACCAAGGCAACGAUGCAUAGCCGACCUGAGAGGGUGAUCGGCCACACUGGAACUGAGACACGGUCCAGACUCCUACGGGAGGCAGCAGUAGGGAAUCUUACGCAAUGGGCGAAAGCCUGACGGAGCAACGCCGCGUGAGUGAUGAAGGUCUUCGGAUCGUAAAACUCUGUUAUUAGGGAAGAACAUAUGUGUAAGUAACUGUGCACAUCUUGACGGUACCUAAUCAGAAAGCCACGGCUAACUACGUG